AUUGCCUGGUUAAGUUUUAUGUUUAGGUCAGCUUUUCUCCUAAACUGUCAAAGCUAUUGCUUUGAAACUUGCAACACUUGUUCACCAUCAUAAGCUGACCCUGUAUAUCAAGAAACAUAACUCCAUCCUGCUUUUUGCAAGAUUUAUGGCCCCUUUUGUACUUAGAAAAUAUCAGAUUUCUUGGUUAAGUUUUAUGUUUAGGUCAACUUUUUCUCUUAAACUAUCAAAGCUAUUGCUUUGAAACUUGCAACUCUUGUUCACCAUCAUAAGCUGACCCUGUACAGCAAGCAACAUAACUCCAUCCUGCUUUUUGCAAUAAUUAUUCCCCCUUUUGGACUU